rnacentral:ncRNA from 1 species
UAUUCUCAGGGCGGGGUGCAAUUCCCCACCGGCGGUGAUCCUGUUUCAGGCAGCCCGCGAGCGUUUCUGCAACGGCAGAAAGUCAGCAGAUCCGGUGUGAAUCCGGAGCCGACGGUAUAGUCCGGAUGAAAGAGGAUA